CGGACGGGUGAGUAACACGUGGAUAACCUACCUAUAAGACUGGGAUAACUUCGGGAAACCGGAGCUAAUACCGGAUAAUAUUUUGAACCGCAUGGUUCAAAAGUGAAAGACGGUCUUGCUGUUACUUAUAGAUGGAUCCGCGCUGCAUUAGCUAGUUGGUAAGGUAACGGCUUACCAAGGCAACGAUGCAUAGCCGACCUGAGAGGGUGAUCGGCCACACUGGAACUGAGACACGGUCCAGACUCCUACGGGAGGCAGCAGCG
rnacentral:rRNA from 1 species